rnacentral:rRNA from 1 species
AUGGUGGAUGCUGGCGCGGACCUCGCCAAGACGACGCCAAUCGCCAACAUCAUCAACCCGGUGCCUCAGAGGGUCGUGACAGAAGACGCAAGGAGGACGCCCGCCAUCUACUUCGUCAUGCUGGAGCUAGAGGAUGGAGGCGUAGCGCCCAUUGGAGGCGCCGCCGACGUCAAGUUGGAGCUCGGAGGCAUGGACCUCGCGAGGAUGCCGCCGCGUGCCGCAGAGGAUGGCAACACGGAGAUCACUAGGACGACGCCUGUCGACUUCUUCAUCAAGUCAGUGCCAUGGAGGACGGAGGCACAGAGCUUGGAGGAUGCUGCCGCGUUCCGCAGGCAUGGCGACAUGGAACUCGUCAAGACGACGCUCAUCUAA